rnacentral:rRNA from 1 species
GAUGAACGCUGGCGGCGUGCCUAAUACAUGCAAGUCGAACGCGCAGCGAGAGGUGCUUGCACCUUUCAAGCGAGUGGCGAACGGGUGAGUAACACGUGGAUAACCUGCCUCAAGGCUGGGGAUAACAUUUGGAAACAGAUGCUAAUACCGAAUAAAACUUAGUAUCGCAUGAUAUCAAGUUAAAAGGCGCUACGGCGUCACCUAGAGAUGGAUCCGCGGUGCAUUAGUUAGUUGGUGGGGUAAAGGCUUACCAAGACGAUGAUGCAUAGCCGAGUUGAGAGACUGAUCGGCCACAUUGGGACUGAGACACGGCCCAAACUCCUACGGGAGGCUGCAGUAGGGAAUCUUCCACAAUGGGCGCAAGCCUGAUGGAGCAACGCCGCGUGUGUGAUGGAGGCUUACGGGUCGUAAAGCACUGUUGUAUGGGAAGAAAUGCUAAAAUAGGGAAUGAUUUUAGUUUGACGGUACCAUACCAGAAAGGGACGGCUAAAUACGUGCCAGCAGCCGCAGUAA